AUAUUAUAUGCUAUAGCAUGUCACAUAUUGUAUUAAAAUUGUCUGCUGUUGUCCGUCUUAAGAAAAAGAACAAAACCUUUUGCAGCCAAACCAGAAUCAACCAAACUCCUUUUAGUUCAAAGACCUUAUAGUGCUUCUUAGUAGUUUCAUGUUAUGUACUAUGGGGUGAAUCUUAAAUACACCUCAUUACAAUAGGGUAACUAUAUGGGAUAAUAAAUAUAUUUUAAGUGUCAUUGUCCAUUGAGUUAAAUUCUCUCUUAUGAUUAGUAGAUUAAAAUGAGCUUAGUAAAUCAUAUUUGAUUUUAUUCUACUAAAAGCUUAAGAAAUUAAGCAUAAAUUAUAAUUACUAUUUAUUUAUUUAUUUAUUUAUUUUUGUUUUUUCCGAGACAGGGUUUCUCUGUGUAGCUCUGGCUGUCCUAGAACUCACUCUGCAGACAGGGCUGGCCUCGAACUCAGAAAUCCACUUGCCUCUGCCUCUCAAGUGCUGGGAUUAAAGGCGCGCACCACCAGGCCCGGUUAUUUUUUUAAUUAAAAAGAAAAAUAAGUAUGAAUUUCCUGGUUCAAGGUAUUAGGAGACAACCUUUUUAUUUAGAACUCUUCAUCUCUCAUGGUAAAAACUGUAUAGUUUCUGUAGAUGGUAUUUUUUAGUGAAAAAUCUCUCAGCAUUUCUUUAGGUGACAUGCAUAUCUAUGAUUAAUUAAUAGAAUUAUGUAAUUUGUAUUACAUUAGAUUUCAAUAUUAUGAGUAAACCUGUUAGAAAUUAGAGAUGUUGCCUGGCAGUGUUACACCCUAAGACUUCUGCAGAGACGGGGGAUGAUUCUCAGGCCCUCUCUGUCUCCACAUUGAUAGAGGUCAUAGAUUUCCUGCUGUUCACAUUAGCGUCUAGUGGAGCACUUAUAGACUCGCUAAUGAUAUUCAUUAAGUUGUUUGAGAGAUUAGAAAAAGCAUUUUAUAGACUUCUGAAUACAUAAGAAUUGUUUUGUCAUGAACUCCCCUACCCCACAAUAGGCUCAACAAGGUUAAAGCAACUUGAUAAUAGUGAGUCUCUAAUCAGAAGUAAGAGUCUAACUCAGCGGUAAAGCAUGAGCUGCGCUGCUUUGGUCACAGGUGUCAUUUGGUAUAUAAUCUCUGUGGCUGCCACUUGGAAUAGGAGAUUAGGUAAUUAUGUGUGCUGGAAGGAGCCUCCUUCAUACUUGUUUGGAUGGAAUGAGAGUUCAUAUCAUUCAUGUAGCACAGGCAUCUCAAGCUUAGUAUGGUUUCAUAUCUGUAGUGUGUGGAAGCAAAUGUAAAGCUAUGCUAAAGGCAAAGUAAUGCCCACUUACUUACAAGUCUUAUGAAAAUGUAGGCUUUCUGAAGAUAACCUCCUAAUAUGUGAAUGACCUCAUAGAAGAUUGUUUAUAGUGCCCAAUUAUAUAGAAUCUAAUUAAAAACAGAAUUUUUACCAGAACAAAUGACAAAUUUAAGGUGAUAAGAAAUAACAAACAUGUUUUAAGUACUAGUACCAUCUUUAGAAGACUAAUAGUUUUAAAUAGCAAAAGGCAAAGGAGUCAUAUAGAAAAUAGAAAUGCAAAAUAAUAUGGUAUAAAUAAUCAGUUACAUGAACAUAAAUUCUCUUUUGUAAAAAAUAGGUUACAGAUUACAUAAAAUGCUAAAUCUAGGGCUAAAGACAUGGGUCAUUGGUUAAGAAUAUUGGCUGCUCUCCCAGAAACCCAUGGGUGAGUUUUCAAUAACUACACAGUGGCUAAUAACUAUCUGUAACUUCAGUUUCAGAGGAUCUGAUAAACCUCUUCUGGCUUUAGGCACCAGGUAUCCACUCAGUGCAUAUACAUGCAGGAAAAACAUACAUAAAAAUAUUAUGAAUAUAACAAAUUUAAUUUAAAGUACAUUAUUAAGUUAUUUAUAAAGGUAUAGUAAUUAUGAAUACUGGAAUAGAUUCAAAUAAUAUAUCAGAAGUUUUUAACCUAAAUAUCACGUGAGGCCUUGUGUCAUUAUAGAUAUUAUUUAGUUAAAUUUGGUAAGUGUUGACAGUAAUUGGGAAGACCAAAGAACU
rnacentral:lncRNA from 1 species